ensembl:lncRNA
UGAAAACAGCAUUUGCAUUAAAAGGCAUUUCUAACACAACGUUGAUGUCUUCUAGAAGCACAAUCCAUAGGUCUGGAGCCUGGGUAUCCUGGUCUGUCUCCCCAGCAGAGGGCAGCACAAAGUCUACCUUCUUCAUCUUCCAUAUUAAUCUGCAAAUCCCUCUCUACGUUGUUAUCCUUUCUGGGGUCGGACUCAGGGAAAACACCAUCAUCUUCAUCUUCAUCAGUGUCCUCUUCACUCCACUGGAACCUAGCUGCGGUGUCUCGGGCCCUCUGCUUCAGAGCUGCUCUUGCAGUAAGCAAAAACUUUUCCUCCUUAUCCCUGGAGAUAAGAGAUGGCUCCACAGUCACCCGCCAUACCUUCAGAGCCUCAAAGAUGCCCCUGGGUCACCACACCAUCUUCCUCAGUCUUCCUCCUCGUCCCCAUCACUGUCCUGAAUUGGUGCUGGACACUUCUUACCUCGAGCCUGAGCAGCUACUUUGAAUAACUCUUCAAGCAAUGUUUUGACCCCAGGAGACUUAUUUGGCUUAGGGACUUCACGAGACCCUGCCCUCUUCUUGGCUGCUCUGUUUCGGGCACUACUUCACAGCCUUUUGAAAUUCUCAUCACUAGCUGCAGGCAAAAAUCUGACCAGUUUGGUCUCUUCACCUUUCUGGUUUUGGGCCUUUCGGCCUGACCCAUGUGUCUCCUUCUUCGUGGGAUUUAACUUGUGCCCAGUGUUAACUGAAGGCUCAGCUUGCCUGGACCUGGUUGAGGCAGACCCAGUACCUCCAGCCAAGGCCUGUGCCACGUGGUCUUGAGAAAGAGCUGGGAUUACAUUCUUUAGUAUUAUAAUCAGCACCCUUGAGACAAAUUUAAGCUGGUCUUAUUAUUUUAAGGAAAACUACAUAGGAUAUAUGUUCUCUGUGGAAGUGAUAUUCUGUCAGUCACAUAUGAUAAGAGCCAGACAAUCAAAGUCACAGUUUCCAGUGAUAGGGCUCACUUUAAAGCUAAAGGGUGACAUGAAAAAUAUACAAGGAAAACACCAAAGUUGUUAAUCUGGAGUGCCUAACUUCCUUAUUUUUAUUAUACUUAGGAAUAGCAUAUGAAUAGGUUAUGUGUUGAAGCAUGACACUUCUGUGGUCCUUUUAAACAAUUCUGAUGCAAUGUGUCUCUAUGAACGCUUUUGAAUCCCAUCUAGCUCAUCAUUUAAUCAUCUAUAUAUUGUUGAAAAAGUACAAGGUUGUCAUGACAACUAGAGAGAUAAUUUAGUCAACAUAACUCAUUCCACAUAACAUAACACUUUGCCUUUGUUCAAAAAUAUUUCUAUAAAUAUUCAUAUUCAGCAUUUUAAUAGUAUGCUUUAUAUUAGAAUGUGUAGACCCCAGAAUUAAAUAAGACCUCUCAGUUCCUGACACUAUUGUCAAGUGCCAUUAUUCUUCUCUAGCUGAAGUCACAACCUUGGUCAUUGAAGGUAUUAUCCACACCCCCCCCCAGGCUUAAAUUAAGCUCUUGGGAAAUUCUUUCCUGACAUAGAGUUUGGUGAGCAUAAAAAUUAGGUUAAUCCUACAAAAAAAAAAAAAGGUUCAGAGGAAAGAAUUCAACAUCAAAGUGGAGCACAUCAUUCAAUUUACAAGACCUAUAGUGGGCAGACAUUGGAACUGGAAAAAGGGAUGAAAGUCCGGAAUACUUUGUGGGAGUAAGGAGGAUCAUAGCUAGUAUCUAGUUAUGAAACUAUUAACAUUCUGGAAGGUAUUUCUUUAUAAUUUUUACUUCUUUCCUAGUGAGAAAAAGUAAGAUGUUCAUUCAUAUGAAUAAAUAUGUGACUAUAUCAAUAAAGACA